rnacentral:rRNA from 1 species
UGGGGAAUAUUGGACAAUGGGCGAAAGCCUGAUCCAGCAAUGCCGCGUGAGUGAUGAAGGCCUUAGGGUUGUAAAGCUCUUUUACCCGGGAUGAUAAUGACAGUACCGGGAGAAUAAGCCCCGGCUAACUCCGUGCCAGCAGCCGCGGUAAUACGGAGGGGGCUAGCGUUGUUCGGAAUUACUGGGCGUAAAGCGCACGUAGGCGGCUUUGUAAGUCAGAGGUGAAAGCCCGGAGCUUAACUCCGGAAUUGCCUUUGAGACUGCAUCGCUUGAAUCCGGGAGAGGUGAGUGGAAUUCCGAGUGUAGAGGUGAAAUUCGUAGAUAUUCGGAAGAACACCAGUGGCGAAGGCGGCUCACUGGACCGGUAUUGACGCUGAGGUGCGAAAGCGUGGGGAGCAAACA